GUGGGGAAUAUUGGGCAAUGGGCGCAAGCCUGACCCAGCAACGCCGCGUGAAGGAAGAAGGCUUUCGGGUUGUAAACUUCUUUUCUGAGGGACGAAGAAAGUGACGGUACCUCAGGAAUAAGCCACGGCUAACUACGUGCCAGCAGCCGCGGUAAUACGUAGGUGGCAAGCGUUAUCCGGAUUUAUUGGGUGUAAAGGGCGUGUAGGCGGGAAUGCAAGUCAGAUGUGAAAACUAUGGGCUCAACCCAUAGCCUGCAUUUGAAACUGUAUUUCUUGAGUGCUGGAGAGGCAAUCGGAAUUCCGUGUGUAGCGGUGAAAUGCGUAGAUAUACGGAGGAACACCAGUGGCGAAGGCGGAUUGCUGGACAGUAACUGACGCUGAGGCGCGAAAGCGUGGGGAGCAAACAGG
rnacentral:rRNA from 1 species